rnacentral:rRNA from 1 species
AUACGUAGGGGGCGAGCGUUGUCCGGAAUGAUUGGGCGUAAAGGGCGCGUAGGCGGCCCGGUAAGUCUGGAGUGAAAGUCCUGUUUUUAAGAUGGGAAUUGCUUUGGAUACUGUCGGGCUUGAGUGCAGGAGAGGUAAGUGGAAUUCCCAGUGUAGCGGUGAAAUGCGUAGAGAUUUGGGAGGAACACCAGUGGCGAAGGCGACUUACUGGACUGUAACUGACGCUGAGGCGCGAAAGUGUGGGGAGCAAACAGGAUUAGAUACCCUGGUAGUCCACACUGUAAACGAUGAAUGCUAGGUGUAGGGGGUAUCGACCCCUUCUGUGCCGCAGUCAACACAAUAAGCAUUCCGCCUGGGGAGUACGGCCGCAAGGUUGAAACUCAAAGGAAUUGACGGGG